rnacentral:rRNA from 1 species
GAACGCUGGCGGUAGCUUACACAUGCAAGUCGAGCGAGAAAGUACUUCGGGUGCGAGUAGAGCGGCGGACGGGUGAGUAACGCGUAGGAAUCUACCUAGUAGAAGGGGAUAGCCCGAGGAAACUCGGAUUAAUACCGUAUACCUCCUUAGGGAGAAAGAGGGCUUAGCUUUGAUGCUCUCGCUAUUAGAUGAGCCUGCGUAAGAUUAGCUUGUUGGUGAGGUAAUGGCUCACCAAGGCGACGAUCUUUAGCUGGUCUGAGAGGACGAUCAGCCACAUUGGGACUGAGACACGGCCCAGACUCCUACGGGAGGCAGCAGUGGGGAAUAUUGGACAAUGGGCGCAAGCCUGAUCCAGCCAUACCGCGUGUGUGAAGAAGGCUUUCGGGUUGUAAAGCACUUUAAGUAAGGAGAAAAAGAUUGUAGUUAAUACCUGCAAUCCUUGAUGUUACUUACAGAAUA